CGUUUGUAGGCGUGGCCCGGCUCUAUGGGGAAACUGACUUGCCAGGAGGCAGGUGUCUCACCAGUAAUUGUCCAGCUGAGGCCAACCACUGCCACAGGACUGCGGGAUUGGUGACACAAAUCUGCAGAGCCCAGUGCAAAGUGAAAUUGCAAGACCCCUCACUCGAAAACACAGGGAUAUGGGUGGGUCUACUGCAGACCCUUACAGGUACCGGGGACCUGCACCCCAGGACUCAGUGUGAAUGUGUGUUUUGGAACAAGAUGUCAGCAAUUGCUGGGCAAAGACAAGAAAAUAAGAAGGCAGAGUACUCAAGUGGAGGAUGUAGGAGGCAGGGCCAA